UACAGUCAAUGGCGGCAUGGCGGUGACGUGCAUUGUAAGUUUGUAACUUGGAAGUGUAUGCAUGUGCGAAUUGAUGUGGCGUUGCAUGUCUUAGGCCCCGUUGGUAACUCCGAGUGAUGAUGACAUAUGGUAUCUUACUGACUUCUAUUGGUAUUUGUGGAAAGAAUGUCUUGAGUGGGAGAAUUGGAUCACAAUUGACUAAAUGUAGAAUAAUCGCAAUGUCGUGGUAGUUGUUCGCGAGAGAUAUGCCAAUAGGGUUUCCCUAUUGACAUAUUGAUACAGGCCUGUUUUCAAUUUGUAAUGGAUUCGAAGAGGAUAUUGAUGGAGUUUUGGUAUCAAAAAGUAUAAGUACAUGUUCGUUGGAAGGGCAACCGUAGAGUUCCGGAUCCUUUUGCUAUUGCAAAAUAUUAUGUGCGUGUAAAACUAAACGCUAAAAGAAGAAGAAGAAUGAUUCAAAAAUUCAGGGAGAGAAUCAUCAAAGAAUUAUACUUGUUUAGCUGUUUUUACUGUCCAUAGAACUUUUUUGGUCGAGACGUUAUGGGUGUCUUAAAGGCACUGAAGGUUGCGUUAGAUGUCAUAAUCCCCAACAAAAAGGAAACGCUGAAAAUCCCAGGUGGUGAUGGGAAUUAUUGGCAAUGUUACGGUGUAGAUAAAUUCAGAAAGUGUGAAGCUAGCUGAUGUAAACCGCGCCAGCUGUGCUAUUACCGAGUCUUUCUCACUUUUGCCGCCUAGCAGGAAAAGGUUGUGAGAGUAGCAGAAGAAGAGAAAAUUGCAGUAAACCCGGUUUUGAAAGAAGCCAAACAUUCCGAUGAUAUGGGAGCCCAGCCUGUGGAAACAAAAACCCUAUGUUUCAGAUAGAAAGACAAAAGGAACACAUCGUUCCUCAACCACUUCUGAGGACCACUGUCACCGAAAGAAAAUCACCUCGCUUAUAGACUCGGAAGGUGAAAGCGAGACCCAAAAGUUUUCCACAACGCAGUCCUCCACCGUUACAGACCACAAUGUGUAAAUGCGUCACAUCCGGGAAAUUAAUACUGCAGUAAUCAGAGCGAUAAAAAAAUUGGCACCAAUUCGUAUAUACCAGAUUAUGCCGCAACGCAUUCAAGAAUGGAGCUUAACACCUUGCAGGGCUGAAGAAAAUGAUAGAAAAGAAUUAGAACAAAUUUGUUGGCCGUAAAACAAACCGCGGGAGGCUCAGGAAGAGCUAGAUCUUAAACAAAAGGUUUUACUUUGUCUUGAAGUUUAUUCAUUUUUACGUUUUUUACUUAUGAAGAUGUGUUACUUGUUCUAGUGCUCUAAAGGAACUAGAUAACCAUAGCAAAGGCUAAUAAAUUUAGGGUUGACAUAAACUUUCGCGACGAAGCAGUUAAAGUAGGCGAAAGCCAAUCGACAAUCGAGUGCGCUACUGUCCCGUGCGUCACUCGCGGCAUCAGCAUUGCGGCAAGUAAGGCAUCCGACACAUGAAGGGAUGUUUCAACAAAUAAAACAAACGGGGUUCGGUCCAAUCUUUUAAACCAAAAUAGUGUGCAGUAAAAAGUUACACGGCGGUUCCAAUCCCAGUAACCAAAUAUACUGGAGGCAAUUUAAAGUCCGGUGCAUUGCAAAAAUCCUAAUAAGGGAAUCAGACGAAUUAGUUUCUCGAAGUACAAGAUUACAUCCAUUGUUGUCCAUUUAUGUCAGAAAACUGAUGUAGGUUAGCGGUAUCCUGUAGUACGAGAAGUUUACCGAUAAGGAUCCUGUGUAGAUGAGAUGAUAGUCACCACCGACUCCGUUUUUAACGAUAUUCCUCUCAAUAGACAGUGUUAGCUGUAAUAGGGAUUUUAUAUAGGUUUUUGGGGUGGUUCAGAAACGUUUACCACGUUUUGCAACUAGACGUCAUAUGAAUGGUACAGUUCAGUAUAUUUGCUAAUUUUCAUGCUAUUUCUUUCAGUUUUAAUCUGCUGUCCGACAAUGUUUCUAUAUCUUUAGGUGCAGUUCCUAUCUGCUGUGUGCAAAAAUAAAUGGUGGAAAAAAUCUGCUCAUCAUGCUGAUCAGCACAAUGCCAGCUUCAUUAAGCAUUCUUGAGAUGACCUAUGAACAGACUACACAGUAUUAAAAGACUCUUCCCUUAAGGAGAUUUGUAGCAGUGGACUUUCUUUAGAAGACUUGUAUCAAAUAUUUGCCUGCUUCUUGGAACAAGGAACUUAGGAGGUCUUGAUGACAACCAAGUAUCCUUGGAAAGAUUGUAAAAAAGAUGUUUAAGCAGGAAAUACCUUAAGUUGGAGGACGGUACAUUUUUUGUUUCCCGUUACUAGUUUUGUAAAACAAAUGGUAAAUUUGGUGAAAUGAAAACAACACAUGAUCUAUUACUUAAGAUCAAUUGUUUUCACAAGUGGAGAUUGAUUCCACAAUCUUCAGCUUCCUAGGCAGACAAUCCGCAAGGCAAUGGGAUAUACAUUUCCUGUAUAUUUUCGAGACAUCUAGUGGAGAAAUAACUAACUCCUUAGAACUUUUAUUGGUGUGUCAGCUGUCCCGUCAGCUGUUCCAUUUCGCGUGGCUGCGGACUGAGGAUGGCUGCUGAAACGAACGUCAAUCUUCCUGAAAUUAUACCGCCGAUUCCGUGUAUUUUGAGAUGCAUCUUGUGAAUUCAACCAAUGCAGAGUUGUUCAAGGAGGAACAUGGCUUGGCUAUGCUAGCAUGUUUUGUUUGUUUUUUUUUUAUCUCCGUUAGCCUGAUAUAUCCAUUUUGUUUCAAAGGUGAUACGUUAAAAGAGUAGUUCUUAACAAUCUUUUUCUCUAUCUAAAUCUCUUAGAUUCUUGGAGGUGUCUUAAGGUGAUGUUUGAAUUUAUUGUUAACAGUUUAAGUUUCGUAAAUCAUGCUUUCAGGUCUUUGGAAUGUAUCUGAUGUACUGUGGUGGCCGCAAAAUCAUUCAAUUACUUGGUUCAAUCCAGGACUUUGUUUUCUUGAUAGUGGGUUACAGUUUUAAUUUGCAGAGAUUCUGGAGGCACCUGAUGUGUUUCAUUGGCAUUGGAGUCCCUCGGUUACAGAAGAGAAUGCCACUACUGUUAUGUUGUCAGUGUAAAUAAAACAUAUCCAGUAUCA